UCACAUUAAUGCAUAUACUAGUACUCAUGUACAUGUACACAAUCACACAUGGAUUAAGCAAUUUUGAAUUGCAUUUAGCAACACCAUGGAUAAAACCUACUAAGGCAGAUGGCAAACGCCUGGAAUGCCGAUAUUGGAUACCGGUAAUCCAUUGUAAACACAUCCUUGUCCACUUUACCAAAUUGUAGGAUAACCUCCUCAUGUUCAGGUGUGAUCCCUCCACCCUCAGCCGAAGCAACUAGCUGAAAGUUCACCACCGAGGCAAUUGUUACGCGUCCAUUAAAAUUUAAACACCAGCUCUGUAGCUGCUCAUUCCAUAUGGGAGAUUUAAUUUUUAAGAUGAGCUGUCCAUCUCUCUGACUACAUAAAGGUCCAGAAAAGAUAUCGUUCGUGCUGUUAGGUAAAGAUGGAGGGGUGUCAAUGCUACUUUGCCGGAACUCAGUCUGUGUUGGAGCCACACCUCCUGGUUUAAUAGCAGAAGGGGAAAUUGUGUCCAUGACGCAAUGCAUUCUUCUCCUGCUGAAUCCAACAAAGUAAUGUAAAGUAUUCCAGUCAAACCAAUACGUUUUACCCAUGGGGUAAGCUGUAUUAUAUCUAAACUUUGAACAGAACAUAGCUGCUUACCCUUCUACUUAUAACCUUAUUCUAUAAAACUUCUUUUGAAAUGUAUGCAAUAGAUUCACCUUUAGAAAAAAACUAUAUUUCCUGUGCAGAAAACUGUUGUACCCUCUUUUCACACACACUGCGGAUUGUAUACAUGCUAAAACUAUUUUAAUCUUACAUUUAUAUACUCUGAUAGAUUUGUGCAGCAUAAUUUCUUUGUGAUUGCUAUAUUGCUAUUUUUCUUUUUCUAAAUUGCUAUAAUACCAUUCAUAAACGAUAAUAAAAUAGAAUGAUGCAUGAGGAUUUUGCUUACCUGGUUUCAAAUGAAAUGUGCGCUACUGGAUAGCUUCCAGAAGGAACACAAGGCAAAACUUGUUUUGAUCCUAUUAGCCUCGUGAAACGACUCCUUGUCAUUUUAGCUCCCGUAUGAAAUGGCAGAGCAUCAUAUACGGAAAACUUUGUCAUUAAGUAAUUAGAUCUUUCACCAAGGAAGAACAAGGGGAAAAAAGAACAAUUAAAAUGGCAGAAAUGAAUAGGAUUCAAAUAUCAAACAGGUUAGGUUAUAGAACACACUUCAGCUUUCCAAUAUAUGCACAGCUCCGUUUUGACAUAUCAUCAGCAUUGAGAGAGAUGAUAUAUUCUGUGAGAGUUGCAUGUCUGGACUUUCGAGCACCAAGAAGAAACUUUCCAUUUUCAGCCAGCGCUAUUGAUGAAGAUCAGAUAAAGAACAAAAGUCAAAGACAGUACAGUAAGGAAUGGAGAAACCUAGCCGAGAAAUGAAUACCCCACCAAGGGUCCAAUACUUGUCAGUUGUCGCAAAAACAUAAACAAGAGAUAUAGGCAUACUCCGAGAAACUGGAAAACCGUUCAGCAUUAACAUGUCAAAGUUUUAGUAUUUGGUUCUCUAUUUCAUACCAUGUCUAUCACAUUGAAUUAUUGAACAGAAGUCAACUUCACAGCAACUGAUUUAAUAUAAACAACUGUUUUGAUCACCGAAAACGAUAGCCCAUAUAAUAAGAUGGUUUUGCCGCACUGUUGCCAAGAUAUUCAAAAAACUACAGAAGCAUAUAUUAAUGCACACCUUGAGAUAAACUGAGGUACAAAUUAUAUGAAUGUGCCAACCCACUCCCACUCCCUUUUCUAAAACUCCUUUUUAUAAAACACCGGAUAAAGGAAUCUCUAGGACCAGGCUGCAAAUUAAUUAUUGAACAUAAAAUGAGAAGAAAGAAUGAAAUGCAAGUACUAAAACUAGAAUUGACAUUAAAAUUAAGAUAAAACAUGGUAAAACAUGUUACUCUAAUGCGGGUCACUGUAUUACAAUACAAUGUCAACAAUCCUAGAGUAACUAUUUUGAAGAUUGAUAAAGCACAAAAAUGGGAAUCAAUCUUUUAGAAGAAGGCAUAUACAAUCAGCUUCAUAUUUACAAUGGUCAGCGUAAAAAAAUUCGAAACAAAACUUGAAGCAAACAAUUGGUUGAUAUUGUCUGCAUUUCCUUAUUUCUUUUUCCCCAAAAAAUUGUCCACGUUAUGUUAAUAUGGUAAAUUUCAUGUAAGUUGGUUGAUAAAUUUAAAAGAUGAUACGCAUAUUUUGUAGAAUUAAAGUUGGAUUUCGAUUAAUGGACAAGAAAAACAGCACGGAGGGAGUAUUUGGUUUAGGAUUACAAGAGGGGGAGGGGCAGGUCACAGGGCCUUGGAAGUUUCUCUUUUGGUGUAUACUGGUACUUUCCACACCCACAAUUCAUUGAACUGUCUUUUUCCGUUGUUCCGCUAGUUCUGGAAAAUCUACAAUUUAUUGUAUUGUUGUUCAAUGCUGUAUCGCCUUUUUUUUUGCCCCAUAUUUCCAAAAAAAUCCAAAAUGCUUCAUGAAAAUCUUGAUAUCCCGGCAUUACAACAGAAACACCUGUCUACAUCCUACUAUAUCUGUUCCAAUCACAAAUUGUAAUCCUGGCCAUAUACAUGCACUUUACUUGCUUUAAAAUUUAUCCAUGUUAUAAGUAAUUAUAUACUUACAUCUAAAUAAAAUCGAAACACAUUCAUAUAGGCCUCCCGUCCUACUAUAUCUGUUCCGAUCACAAAUUGUAAUCCUGGCCAUAUACAUGCACUUUACUUGCUUUAAAAUUUAUCCAUGUUAUAGAUAAUUAUAUACUUACAUCUAAAUAAAAUCGAAACACAUUCAUAUAGGCCUCCUUUUGUUUCAGUGAUUUUAUAGGUAUUUCAACUUCUACGGAACUAUGUUACAACUAGUUCCAUGGAAAAUAAAGUAUAAGUGUUUUGUUCACCACUAUGUAACUGGUACUCACUUGUUUUCUUUUAAGUCGUUUAACGUAUUUUAACACAGAUUAAGAAAGUUCAUUAUUACACUAAAAAAUCAUUUAUUAGCCCUUUCUUUUCCAUUUUUGCACUCAUUUAGUGUCUUUCCUCUCUCUUUCUUCUCCUGACUCAUAGUAUUAUAUAAGGGUAUUAAAAGUCAUUAGACAACCCAAUUGUUCUUGAAAAGAGAGAACGGCCUAUCUAUACUAUACUAUAAUAAGCCAACAUGGGUAUAAUUUGUAGUCCAAGAUUUUAGUUAUAUUUUUUGGUUUGGUACUCUCCUUUUGGUACUACAAGUCUACAAAUGUGGAGUCUAUUAGUAUUAUAUUGUUAAACAGUUUCAAAUACUAAAAACACUUAUAACAAUUCAUUAUCAUAUAAUAUUUCAUUAAAAAAUUAUGAUAAUGUUAUAAAUAAAAUUAUAAAUAUACAAGAUAUUUAACAAGAACAUUCAUAUAACUCUUUUUAACUAACACGAACCAUUACAUAACCCUUUCUAACUCUAAUCUUAAAAGUUAUUGUUGUCAAAAAAAACCAAGAUUACAAAAUUAUGUUGAAAUUCGAUUGAUUAGAUUACUGAAUCUUUCAAAGAUAUUACACGAUCCGCUAUAUUUAUUAGAGUUUGUCCAUUUUCAAAUAAUCGGAAGAAAAUAUAGUCAGUUGAAUAAUAUAAUUUAAUUAAAAUUCAAUCCAUUAAUACUAAAAUACUAAUAAAAUGAUGUUAAAAUUUAAAUUAUAAAUAAUAAAUUAUGAAUUAUAUACCCGCCCGUGCUUCGCACGGGUUAAAGGCUAGUAUUUAUAACAAAUAGUGACAUUUUCUAAAACGGACUAAUAAAAGAAAAUAGAGGGAGUAAUUUAUUAAAUCACUUAAUAAUCUAAUCACCAUUUGACUUAAAAAAACCAUAGGUCACCUACAUAACUUGAAAAUCUUAGAACCCUAAGUUCCUCUAUCCAACUUAUAGCUAGCCAACCAAAUAGUAAAGCAUUUAGGUUCCAAGGUACUUGCGGUUUCAUAACUGAGGCACAUUGAAACAAAUGAAAUCAUAGGCGUCAAUAGACGCACAUAACUAAUCCGUUUGUUUGCAUGAAAAACACGAUUUCAAAUAACAAUUUCCCAACAAACAAACAAAAAAUCUUUCCGGCAAAUGAUUUCUCAAAACACAACUCAAGUCCUUUCUAAUCUUCUUAAUCAAAGUCAUAAUUAAACAUCUCAAAACCAAUAUUCUAAACAUCGGUGAACUCAGACAAGCACUCAGAGAUUAGCAAUCAACUAAAUCAUAGUACUCCCUCCGUCCCAAAAUACAUGUCGCUUUGACUUUUUGCACGUAAUUUAAUGUGCAAAUAAAACAUACUUCUAUAUAUUAUUUUUUAUAUUUCCUUUUUCUAAAUAAAAGUAUAACAUCCAUAUUUUUAUUCAGAAAAAGAAAAUUUGAAAAAUAAUAUAUAGACAUAUGUUUUAUUCGCACCUCAAAUUACGUGAAAAAAAUCAAAGUGACAUGUAUUGUGGGACGGAGGGAGUAACUUAUAGAGUAAUUCAGCGACGAGACCGAUUUCCUUGAAAUUUCCUAAUUUCUAUUUCGAUAACCGGCAGUUAUUUUUCCAAAAACUAAAUAAUUUAUCUAUGCUCAGUUGUCCCGAAUAACUGGUUUCGACUAUCGCUCGUCCCGAAAGUAUUUGAACAAAUAAUAAAACCUAGAUAUUCAAAAAAGAACACAAACAAACGCGAUAAAAUCAGAAAAACUCGAAAACAAACCUGUUUGACCGAAAUCGGAAAAGUCAAGACUCCCGAAACUUCCGGAAGCCUAACAAUCUCCUUGAUCAACACGUUCCUCCAACUCCGACACACUCCGGCACACGCCACCACGCUCCUCCUCAUCGGCCACUCACUCUCCGACGCCUCCACCUUCAUCAACACUUCUCUCAACAAAUCCUCCGGCAUUAUCGCCCACCGGCAACUGCUCUCCGGCCUAGGCUUCGAUCGGAAUCCGAUGUAACUAAGUUUCAUCUUCGCGUGGAGUCANUCAAACGACUCAAACCAACAGAAUAACAAUAAGUUGUUGUGAAACGGCGUCGUUAAGGAGUGUUAGUACUUAGUUGAGAGAGAAAUCGGUGGAUUUAAUUUAACAAAAAGCGCAAGCCGAGCAAGAUUGAUAGCUCAAGGUAGGGGUGUACACGGGUCGGUGAAAUCGACAAAACCAAUCCAAACUGAUCAUAUUUUAUCCGAAUUAAUAAGAAUUUUUUUGACUUAAUUGCUAAUUGAAUUAAAAAAAUGAAUAACACGAUUUAAUUGGGCUGGACAAAGAUCUCAGGUUUUUUAACCGAUCCAACCCAACCCGAUUAGAAAAUAUUAAAUUACAUAUAAAAAUUAUUCACCCCACCCCACCCUAGUUUUAAAUACAAUAACAAUAAAUUGUUGUGAAAACGGCGUCGCUAAGGAGUGUUAGUUGAGAGAGAAAUCGGUGGAUUUAGAUUUAACCAGUGUUGUAAAAAGCGGGAAUCGGAUUUAAUCGGUGAAGUCACGGAACAAGAAUUAAUCGGAGAUUAAUUGAAUUGAUCGGAGAUUAAUCGGAUCAGUUCGGCGAGCCGGGGAACAGGGAUUAAUCGGUGAUUACGUCAGUGACUUUUAGAACAGAGGAUUUAACAAAAAGUGCAAGCCGAGCAAGAUUGAUAGCCCAAGGUAGGGGUGUACACGGGUCGGUGAAAUCGACCGGACCAAUCCAAACCGAUCAUAUUUUAUCCGAAUUAAUCAGAAUUUUUUUGGCCUAAUUGUUAAUUGGAUUUAAAAAAAAUGAGUAACACGAUUUAAUUGGGCUGGAUAAGGAUUUCGGGUUUUUUAACCGAUCCAACCCAACCCGAUUAAAAAAUAUUAAAUUACAUAUAAAAAAUUGUUCACCCCACCCCACUCUAGUUUUAAAUACAAUAAUCAUGUUUAUGUCAAACAUAAAAAUUUAUGUUCGACAUAAAUAUGGUUAUUGUAUUGAUGUUAUGCCAAUGUUGGUACUAUGAUGUUUUAAGUGGAAAAAUGAAAAUGAUUAAUCAGUUAUCACUAUGAAAUGGAUGAAGUUUUAAAAAGUGGAGAAAUGACGUUAGAACUCUAAUUUUGGAGAUUCGUCUCUUAAAAUUAUAAAUCCUGCGGAACUAUUCGGCUUUCAUUAAUCCUUAAUUUUGAUGUAAAUAGAAAAGAGGUUACAGCGUCUUUUAAUGAAAAAUCAUUUACCAUUCCCAGUUAUUUAUCUUCGCUGAUAAUGCGUUACUAAUAGAUUGUUUCGAAUCAUUAUCAAAACUGAUAUAUAUCAGUAUUGCUAAUUUGCUAUCAGCAAACUCCUUCAAAAAAUGACGUCCUAUUCGUUUUGUUAUUCAAUUUUUGUAUUUGAUGUAUAUCAUGUCAUGUUGAUAAAUAGUAGUAUUUCAUCAUUGCUACAAAUUUGAAACUAUGACUGCUUUUCUUUAUUACUAUUUUUUUUUAGAUAUGACUGAUUUCUGUUGAUCUGUUUAUCUCUAUGUUUGACACGUACGAAGUGCUGACUCUGGAUCCAAAUAAUAAAAACUGUAGAAAUUUAAAGGAAUUAUCUGUCCACAAAAACAGGGCAUAGUUCAUGAGACUAUACUUAUCUAUUCUCCAUCUUCACCUCCCUUGUCUGCUGGUAAUUUUGUGUUGUACAAAACAGAAGCCUGUAACAAAAACUGAAGGAAUUUCCGAAUAAGAAGCCAUGAGAGCUGCAGAUGAUCCUUGGAGAGAAGAAAGAAGCCAGGGCUUGUUAGGCAACUUCUGUAGUAGCUUUUGCAACUCUAUCUCUUCAUGGUCUCUUUCUUCUACUUCUACCAAUUUAAGUAUAUUUUGUUACUACUAUAUAUCACAAAUAUAUAUCAUACGAUUUCUUCAACUCAACUGAGCAUGAAUCUGCAGUACCCCUAAUAAUAUGUGUCUAUUUUCACUGUUUAUUGCAGUCUCUACUUGGUUUGUUGUUGCUGGCUCUUACAGGACUGUCUUCCUGGCCUUCGUCGUCCUGCUCACCACAGAAAUCAUCCUCCUGACCCUCCUGGUCAUCAUCCCAGGCCAACUGAUCCUCUUGUUGGUCCUAGUCCUGCUCCUUCUCGUUUUGGGACUCCCGGAGGUCUGCCUGGUGUUGCUAACCCGCUGGCUGGUCCUAUGGGCGGGACUCCCGGAGGUCCGCCUGGUGUUCCUAACCCGCUGGCUGGUCCUCCGGGCGAAGAUCCGGUCAGGUUUGAGCCACCAGGCCCACCUGAACCCCCUGGUCCUCGCCGCUACUGAUCUUUAGGUUUCAAUUAUAUGUUGUGUAUAAGUGCACUGGUAUCAGAAUGUUUCCCGGAACUAAUGCUUCAAUGAAGUGCAAAUGUAUGUACAACUUUCAAUUUACCAAGUUCAUGUGAUGUGCUUGAUUACAUGAAACAGGUAUUGUAAUAAUAAAUUUACACUAAUAAACAGGAACUGUUUCCAAUGAUUACCUCUAGAAAUGUUUGUUUCUCUACAAAACAAGUGCUGAAGAUAAGGCAACAAGACAAGAGAAUAUAUUUCAGUGACUGAUAAACAUAUAAGUUUUUAGAUACCACAAGUAUUUUAAAAAGUUAAGACAACAAUCACAUUCGCCAAGAGUACAGUGGUAAAGACUGGACUAGAACAAGUCUCACAGAGCUCGACCGGCUACAAGCCUACAACUACUAUGAAGAAGAACCCAAAUAAAGUUAAAUAUCGAGAAAGUAGGCACAAUUGGUGCAUGCCUCUCUUGAUGUCUGGGCAAUUAACAUUAAUGGCAGAAGAACAAACCAUAUGAACAAGCUAUCUUGGGUCCUGUGUAAUCUACGCCUUUGUCAAUAAGAUGUGAGGCCUUUGUCUAUGCUGAAACAAAUGACAUGUUCCACAGUAUUAGCACAUGGAAAUACUAAUUUGUGUUUCUAAUUUAUGCCACAAGUAUGUUAACAUGACAAAGGUUUAACUUCAACAGAUAAAUUACUACAUAUAUUUUUUCUAGCCCCACUUGGCUUGUUAUCUUUUCAAGCUGAUAUUAUUACAACUCCCGUUAAUUUCCACAAAUGGUCAAAUUCAAACCAAAAUGAAGGUCAUAAUUAACUUCUAUAAACCAUAUUCAAAUUUACCUAAUCAACGAUACAAAUAUUAGUUUCAUAAGGAAUAACAACCUGAAUUGACAUCCCAGUUAGUUUAAUAAGGAAUAAAAAAUUGAAUAGACAUCCCAGUAUGAAUUUGUUAGGACAAUAAAGGACCCUCCCCUCUUCUAAAUGUUAUUGGAAGAAACUAUGAUCAUCCAACUUAAUCAAAUCCUGAUGUUAGUUCAAAACCCAGCUUUAGACCUCUUCAUCUAGUAGAUAAAAACCAAAGACAAUAUUCAAAGAUGAAAAAAAAAACAAUAGUAGCAUUGUGUUGGUAGUGGGAGGAGUGGAAUUGAGCAGUGUGAAAUAUAGGUAUGUUUACUUUCCAUCAAAUCAAGUGGCGGAACAGACAUUAGAAACAUGCAGUGCUACAGUGGGGAAUCCAGAAGUGACAGCAUACUCAAAACUAAAGUACAAGCACCCUAGAAAACAGGGAACUAAAAACAAUCCACAAGCUAAACCACUUUCUCUUUCUUAUUUCCGUGUGUUGUGUGUUUGGCAACAUUAACACUAGCUAAUAUAUCAUGGCUCCAUUAAGCAUGAGAAUAGCUACGUUAAUGUAGAUCUUGAGAGAUGUGUGUGUGUGUGUGUGUGUAAGAAGUUUCUAGGGUUAUUCUUACCUGUAAUUCAUUCACAAGCAAUCUUUGUGUCAAAGCUACUAAGGCAGAUGGCAAACGCCUGGAAUGCCGAUAUUGGAUACCGGUAAUCCAUUGUAAACACAUCCUUGUCCACUUUACCAAAUUGUAGAAUAACCUCCUCAUGUUCAGGUGUGAUCCCUCCACCUUCAGCAGAAGCAACUAGCUGAAAGUUCUUCACCGAGGCAAUUGUUACACGUCCAUUAAAAUUUAAACACCAGCAUUGUAGCUGCUCAUGCCAUCUGGGAGAUUUAUUUUUUAAGAUGAGCUGUCCAUCUCUCUGACUACAUAAAGGUCCGGAAAAGAUCUCGUUCGUGAUGAUAGGUAAAGAUGGAGGGGUGUCAAUGCUACUUUGCCGAAACUCAGUCUGUGUUGGAGCCACACCUCCUGGUUUAAUAGCAGAAGGGGAAAUUGUGUCCAUGACGCAAUGCAUUCUUCUUGGGCCCCUGCUGAAUCAAAAAAGUAAGGUAAAGUAUUCCAGUCAAACCAAUACGCUUUACCCAUGGGGUAAGCUGUAUUAUAUUAAACUUGGUACAGAACAUAGUUGCUUACCCUUCCACUUAUAACUUAUUCUAUAAAACUUCUUUUGACAUGUAUGGAAUAGAUUCACCUUUAGAAAAAACUAUAUUUUCUGUGCAGAAAACUGUUGUACCC
rnacentral:lncRNA from 1 species